rnacentral:rRNA from 1 species
AUUGAACGCUGGCGGCCGGCCUAACACAUGCAAGUCGAACGAGUGGCGGACGGGUGAGUAAUGUCUGGGAAACUGCCUGAUGGAGGGGGAUAACUACUGGAAACGGUAGCUAAUACCGCAUACCAUCAGAUGUGCCCAGAUGGGAUUAGCUGGUUGGUGGGGUAACGGCUCACCAAGGCGACGAUCCCUAGCUGGUCUGAGAGGAUGACCAGCCACACUGGAACUGAGACACGGUCCAGACUCCUACAGGAGGCAGCAUUGGGGAAUAUUGCACAAUGGUAGCUAGCCUGGUGCAGCCAUGCCGCGUGUAUGAAGAAAGCCUUCGGGUGAUAAAGUACAUUCAGCGGGGAGGCGUUACCCGCAGAAGAGGCACCGGCUAACUCCUUGCCAGCAGCCGCAGUAAGUC